CAGGCUCCGGCUUUCACUUUCGAAAAAACUUUUCAAUUUAAUUUUGAAAACGAAAAAACUAAUGCAAAACGGUACACGCAAAGUCCAAAUUAAAAUAAACACCUUUUUAUAAAACAAGCCGAAUCUUAAUUGCCAAUGAAAGUAAGAAAAAUAGAUGACCUAUUGAUGCAUUAACAGAUGAUUGGCACCAGUACCAGUGCAAUUUUUCUGGUGCUUUUUUUGUAAAUAAUUUCUGUUUAGCCCAACUUCAAAGUUUGCUUUGAGAUAAUUGGUCAAAGCAGCAACAUGUGCGUUUAAAAGACAUUCGCAAAUUUGACGAAAACAGGAGCAUCUAAAGCGAAAACGGAACGUUUUAGCUGAAAGCGCAAAACGUAAAACUAACUUGGGUUGGAUGCCACUGCUUUUGUCCUAAAAUAGUUCUGACGUGUCUAAAACGUACCGCUAUCCUUUAACUCUAAUCUGUUAUUUGUAUCUCCGAAAUAAUAAAAUCAGGAGACUUA